rnacentral:rRNA from 1 species
AUUGAACGCUGGCGGCAGGCCUAACACAUGCAAGUCGAGCGGCAGCGGGAAAGUAGCUUGCUACUUUUGCCGGCGAGCGGCGGACGGGUGAGUAAUGCCUGGGAAAUUGCCCAGUCGAGGGGGAUAGCAGUUGGAAACGACUGCUAAUACCGCAUACGCCCUACGGGGGAAAGCAGGGGACCUUCGGGCCUUGCGCGAUUGGAUGUGCCCAGGUGGGAUUAGCUAGUUGGUGAGGUAAUGGCUCACCAAGGCGACGAGCCCUAGCUGGUCUGAUAGAAUGAUCAGCCACACUGGAACUGAGACACGGUCCAGACUCCUACGGGAGGCAGCAGUGGGGAAUAUUGCACAAUGGGGGAAACCCUGAUGCAGCCAUGCCGCGUGUGUGAAGAAGGCCUUCGGGUUGUAAAGCACUUUCAGCGAGGAGGAAAGGUUGAUGCCUAAUACGUAUCAACUGUGACGUUACUCGCAGAAGAAGCACCGGCUAACUCCGUGCCGGCAGCCGCAGUAAAAC